UCGGUUUCGGCAUCCCCCGAGAAAAUCAUCCUUUCGGCCGACUGUUCAGGAAUUAAAUUCACCGGGUGUCGGCGCGAGGAUGCGGCUCUUCAGGGUCCUCUUCAAGGCGUGAGCGUCCCUCGCGGCACUGUCGCAGCGCCCCCAGGACUCCUGUGGCACUUCCAAGACAUGCCAAGGAUCGUCCUGCGAAGUUCCUUCUGACUUUCCAGUCCCCCUAAAUUCAAAGGUCUUUGGGAUGAACGAGAAAUUUAAUCGCGGACCUGUGGACUCUUAAAUUGGUCAGGAAGCUGAGGAAGGAUAUACGGCUCCUUGGCGAGCGAGGUGUAGGUUUUGCCGAUGAUCCAGGAACUGGUGAGGGGGUAACGAGGGGGAGUUUGCCAGGAUGGUGGGAACGGCGCCCAAGAUGUCGGCCGUGGUGGUCUCCGCCAUCAGGGACCUCAGGGAGGUGCGGGGCUCGACCUCGAAGGAGAUCAUGAACUACAUUUCCUCUGAAUAUGGCGGGACCAGUCCAGCGAUCCAGCGCCAGGUGUUAACCGCGCUGAACCGUGGUCUGGCCUACGGGAUCCUGAAGAAGGUCCACGGGCACUACACCCUCAACUCGGACCUGGCGGACUUCAACCCGAGCAGCAUGGUGCCCGAGGAUUCUUGUAAAAAGAAAAUGAAGAGGAAGAAGAAAAAGAAGAAGAAGCGCGCCGGAAAAUGCGGCAUGAAGCGAAAGGUGAAGAGGAAGAAAAAGAAGAAGAAGAUGAAGAAGAUGAGUGGCUGCGGGAAGCGGAAGAGUGCGAAGAAGCGCAAGAAGAAGAUCAAGGCUAAGAAGUGCAUGUGCGGGGGCAGAGGUCGCGCCCAGGGUGACGGGGUGGAGGCCCUUCCCUUGGAGAUACCCCCGAAGAUCAUCAGCGAGUUCGAGACGGAGUCCCCGAGGUUCGAGGAUGACGAUCCUGACUUGGAGAGUGGGGCCGGAAACGAGCUCAAUGGCGACGACUACGCGAACCCUGACUGCGAUAAUCCUGACUACGACAACCCUGACUACAAUGACAGAGAAGAAGCUGGUGGCAGAAGUCGCAGCGGCAGCAGGAGCAGCAGGAGCAGCGACAGCAAUGAGCAACCUCCCAGCACGGAUGGCCUCCUCAUCUAGAAGAUGGUACCUCGAAGAAGGGUUCCCACCGCGUGGCGUCUGUUACGUUCUUCCUGGACCUGAAGGGUUCGUCCCUCGAGCCCUUCAGGCUCGUCCUUUAGCCCUGAUCCUGCAGUCCCCCUGGAACCCUGCUCAUUGCAAGUUCACAUCCAUGACAUCGCUGAACAGGAAAGCGUCCAUGAUGUAGUCCCUGCAGUUCCUGAAGAGGCACAGGGUUCCUGCAAGACGAAUGCCCGCGUUAUCAGAGCGCAUCGUAGGUGCAGGACGGUGUCCUCCCCUAAUGUCCCCUCGUCCUGUCCGU
rnacentral:misc_RNA from 1 species